rnacentral:rRNA from 1 species
GACAGAGGUCCCGAGCGUUAGGCGGAAUCACUGGGCUUAAAGCGUGUGUAGGUGGAUGCCUAAGUACUUUGUGAAAUCCCACGGCUUAACCGUGGAAUUGCUUGGUAUACUGGCGGUCUUGAGCCAGCUAGGGGCUACCGGAACAAAUGGUGGAGCGGUGAAAUGCGUAGAUAUCAUUUGGAACGCCAAUGGUGAAAACAGGUAGCUGGGGCUGUGCUGACACUGAGACACGAAAGCCAGGGGAGCAAACGGG